GGGAGAUUCAGCGUGACAUAGAGUGUGACAAGGCUGGCUCCUUUGAAUUCAGGUAGAACAGAAACAGAAAGAAAGAGUGAGGGAACGUUGUGGUGGAAGAAUGUAGCAGGGUUCGCCACCACACCCUGCUGGAGCGACGUGGAGCUUUAGGUGUUUUCAUUCAAUAUACACUCACAACGCCCAGUCCGGGAAUCGAAACCGCGAUCCUACGACCACAAGUUCG